rnacentral:piRNA from 1 species
UAACUCUGUCCUUCAUUUUAA